rnacentral:rRNA from 1 species
UAAACGACUCUCGGCAACGGAUAUCUUGGCUCACGCAUCGAUGAAGAACGUAGCAAAAUGCGAUACUUGGUGUGAAUUGCAGAAUCCCGUGAACCAUCGAGUUUUUGAACGCAAGUUGCGCCCAAAGCCAUUCGGCCGAGGGCACGUCUGCCUGGGCGUCACGC